rnacentral:tRNA from 1 species
AUGAUCUUAAGUUAAUACAAACUAAAUACUUUCAAAGUAUUAAAUGAAACAUAUUUCAAAUCAUA